rnacentral:tRNA from 1 species
GCUCUGGUGGCAAAAUGGUUAAGUGCUCGGCUGCUAAUCAAAGGUUGGUGGUUCAAACCCACCCAGCAGCU